rnacentral:rRNA from 1 species
AACAUGUGCGCGAGUCAUUGGGACUUGUUUAUAAUAAGCCUAAAGGCGCAAUGAAAGUGAAGGUCCGCUUUGAUGCGCGACCGACGGAGGAUGGCCGUUUGGUUUUUUAUUAAAUUAGACGGCCCGCACUCCCGGGGCGUCUCGCGCUCAUCGCGAGCUGAGGCGCACCCAGAGCGUACACGUUGGGACCCGAAAGAUGGUGAACUAUGCCUGGUCAGGACGAAGUCAGGGGAAACCCUGAUGGAGGUCCGUAGCGAUUCUGACGUGCAAAUCGAUCGUCGGAACUGGGUAUAGGGGCGAAAGACUAAUCGAACCAUC